rnacentral:pre_miRNA from 13 species
ACAUAGGCCUUUAUAAUACAACCUGAUAAGUGUUAUAACACUUACCAGAUUGUAUUGUAAUUGUCUGUGUA